rnacentral:rRNA from 1 species
CCUACGGGAGGCAGCAGUGAGGAAUAUUGGUCAAUGGACGCAAGUCUGAACCAGCCAUGCCGCGUGUAGGAAGACGGCUCUAUGAGUUGUAAACUGCUUUUGUACGAGGGUAAACGCAGAUACGCGUAUCUGUCUGAAAGUAUCGUACGAAUAAGGAUCGGCUAACUCAGUGCCAGCAGCCCCGGUAAUACGGAGGGUCCAAGCGUUAUCCGGAUUUAUUGGGUUUAAAGGGUGCGUAGGCGGUCGGAUAAGUUAGAGGUGAAAUCCCGAGGCUCAACUUCGGAAUUGCAUCUGAUACUGUGCGGCUAGAGAGUAGUUGCGGUAGGCGGAAUGUAUGGUGUAGCGGUGAAAUGCUUAGAGAUCAUACAGAACACCGAUUGCGAAGGCAGCUUACCAAGCUACUUCUGACGUUGAGGCACGAAAGCGUGGGGAGCAAACAGGAUUAGAUACCCGAGUAGUC